UUGCAAGGUAUAGACCCGAAACCCGGUGAUCUAGCCAUGGGCAGGUUGAAGGUUGGGUAACACUAACUGGAGGACCGAACCGACUAAUGUUGAAAAAUUAGCGGAUGACUUGUGGCUGGGGGUGAAAGGCCAAUCAAACCGGGAGAUAGCUGGUUCUCCCCGAAAGCUAUUUAGGUAGCGCCUCGUGAACUCAUCUUCGGGGGUAGAGCACUGUUUCGGCUAGGGGGUCAUCCCGACUUACCAAACCGAUGCAAACUCCGAAUACCGAAGAAUGUUAUCACGGGAGACACACGGCGGGUGCUAACGUCCGUCGUGAAGAGGGAAACAACCCAGACCGCCAGCUAAGGUCCCAAAGUCAUGGUUAAGUGGGAAACGAUGUGGGAAGGCAUAGACAGCCAGGAUGUUGGCUUAGAAGCAGCCAUCAUUUAAAGAAAGCGUAAUAGCUCACUGGUCGAGUCGGCCUGCGCGGAAGAUGUAACGGGGCUAAACCAUGCACCGAAGCUGCGGCAGCGACGCUUAGGCGUUGUUGGGUAGGGGAGCGUUCUGUAAGCCGUUGAAGGUGACCUGUGAGGGUUGCUGGAGGUAUCAGAAGUGCGAAUGCUGACAUAAGUAACGAUAAUGCGGGUGAAAAACCCGCACGCCGGAAGACCAAGGGUUCCUGUCCAACGUUAAUCGGGGCAGGGUGAGUCGACCCCUAAGGCGAGGCUGAAAAGCGUAGUCGAUGGGAAACAGGUUAAUAUUCCUGUACUUGGUGUUACUGCGAAGGGGGGACGGAGAAGGCUAGGCUAGCCGGGCGACGGUUGUCCCGGUUUAAGCAUGUAGGCGGAGUGACUUGGUAAAUCCGGUUGCUUAUCA
rnacentral:rRNA from 1 species